UACCCUAUCAUUUUAAAUGAUCCAACAAUGUUUAAAAAUUAUUAUCGCAUGACCAAAGAACAAUUUGACAAUUUAUUAAUACUGGUUGCUCCAAUAAUUACAAAAGAGGAUGCGAUACGGACACCAAUCUCACCUGAAGAACGUCUUAUUGCGUGUUAUUAACAUUAAGAUACCUAACAUCAGAUGAUAGUCAAGUGUCUAUGUCAUAUGAAUUUGGUUUUGGGACAAGUACAGUUUCUCAAAUAAUUUCGGAAACUUGUAAAGCGCUGUGGACAAAAUUAGCUCCACUAGUUCUGCCAAUACCAAAAUCACAAGAUUGGGAAAAAAGUGAAAAAAAUUUUAGGCGUAAAUGGAAUUUUCUGAAUUGUGUGGGUGCUAUUGAUGGAAAACAUGUAAUAAUGCAAGUAAGUUAUAUUAAUUACAAAACUCAGAAUUUAGUCGUCAUUCUUGUAAAAUCUGUGUCAGAAAUAUUUCUUAUAAUAAACAUUUUCUUUUAUCUA